rnacentral:rRNA from 1 species
UACGUAGGGUGCAAGCGUUAAUCGGAAUUACUGGGCGUAAAGCGUGCGCAGGCGGUGAUGUAAGACAGAUGUGAAAUCCCCGGGCUCAACCUGGGAACUGCAUUUGUGACUGCAUCGCUGGAGUGCGGCAGAGGGGGAUGGAAUUCCGCGUGUAGCAGUGAAAUGCGUAGAUAUGCGGAGGAACACCGAUGGCGAAGGCAAUCCCCUGGGCCUGCGCUGACGCUCAUGCACGAAAGCGUGGGGAGCAAACAGG